GCUAAGAAUAUUCCGCAAUGGACGAAAGUCUGACGGAGCGACGCCGCGUGGAUGAAGAAGGCCGAAAGGUUGUAAAGUUCUUUUGUUGGGGAAGAAUAACCAUGGGAGGGAAUGCCCGUGGGAUGACAUGAACCGACGAAUAAGCCCCGGCUAACUACGUGCCAGCAGCCGCGGUAACACGUAGGGGGCGUGCGUUGUUCGGAAUUACUGGGCGGAAAGGGCAUGUAGGCGGUCUUGUAAGCUUGGUGUGAAAGACCACGGCUCAACCGUGGGAUUGCGUUGAGAAAUUCGAGGCUUGAGUGACGGAGAGGGAGCUAGAAUUCCUGGUGUAGGGGUGGAAUCUGUAGAGAUCAGGAAGAAUACCAAGGGCGAAGGCAAGCUCCUGGCCGAUGACUGACGCUGAGGUGCGAAAGUGUGGGGAUCAAACAGGAUUAGAUACCCGAGUAGUCC
rnacentral:rRNA from 1 species